UACGUAGGGCGCAAGCGUUGUCCGGAAUUAUUGGGCGUAAAGAGCUCGUAGGCGGUUUGUCGGCGUCUGCUGUGAAAACCUAAGGCUCAACCUUGGGCUUGCAGUGGGUACGGGCAGACUAGAGUGCGGUAGGGGUGACUGGAAUUCCUGGUGUAGCGGUGGAAUGCGCAGAUAUCAGGAGGAACACCGGUGGCGAAGGCGGGGUCUCUGGGCCGAUACUGACGCUGGAGGAGCGAAAGCGUGGGGAGCGAACAGG
rnacentral:rRNA from 1 species